rnacentral:rRNA from 1 species
GGGGGAAUAUUGCACAAUGGGGGAAACCCUGAUGCAGCGACGCCGCGUGGAGGAUGACGGCCUUCGGGUUGUAAACUCCUUUUGUCAGGGACAAUGGUGAUGGUACCUGACGAAUAAGCCACGGCUAACUCUGUGCCAGCAGCCGCGGUAAGACAGAGGUGGCGAGCGUUGUUCGGAAUUACUGGGCUUAAAGGGCGCGUAGGCGGUGGUUUAAGUCUAGGGUGGAAUGCUACAGCUCAACUGUAGAGCUGCCUUGGAAACUGGAUUACUUGAGUCGGUGAGGGGAAGGUGGAAUUCCAGGUGUAGCGGUGAAAUGCGUAGAUAUCUGGAGGAAGGUCUGUGGCGAAGGCGACCUUCUGGCACUUGACUGACGCUGAGGCGCGAAAGCGUGGGGAGCAAA